rnacentral:tRNA from 1 species
AAUGAGGUGGCUGAAUAGGUGAAAGCAAUAGUAUGCUAAACUAUUGAGAGAGUAUGUCUUAUGUGGGUUCGAGUCCCAUUCUCAUUG